UUUGUUCAAAUAAGAUUCUU
rnacentral:sRNA from 1 species